CUUUGAAGCUGCCUUCCAAUGCGCUGCAAAAAGCGAAGCUACAGGCUUGUAGUACUUAAACAGUCCGACAAAAAGGAACAGGGUAUCAAGAUGCGUGGCUUGAUUGAGCGCACAAUGUAACAAGAUGGUCGAAGAUU